GGGGAUUUGGUAUAAUAGAGAGCAUGUUGGAUUUAGAAUCAGAAGACCUGGGUUCAAAUCCCAGCUUAGCCA
rnacentral:tRNA from 1 species